rnacentral:misc_RNA from 1 species
GUGUUUUACAGCAAAGAGUUCAUAUUGCAUUCCUUAGAAGCAAUAUUUAAGAAACGUUCAAUCCAAGGUUUUCCGAGCUGGUAAAACCUUCAUUCAGUAGAGAGAAAACAAGAAAUAAAAAUAUAAGAUUUAUUUUAUGUUCAUGGUAAGAUACGAAUGAAAAGAUUUCAUUAUAGGAAUCAUUCAAAACUCUUUAAAUCUUAGAUUUACUCAAACUUUCACAAUUUAUUGCAAUAUGUAAAAUAUAUAAUAUUUAUAUUAGUUUAUAGUAUGAGAGCAAAGUCAGCACUAGACUUUGGGCCAUGCCUAUUAUAAACUAUAAUUAUUUGCAUCAUAAUAAUUUUGGAUUUAAUCUCUCCUAUCUUUUCCUUUCUUUGUUUCUCUCGAACCAGGGUUCCUGUCCUUUCAUACAGUUAUUUCGUCAGUUUCAUUAGCCUGCCUCUCUAGGGAUGUCAAUUUUUAUGGAUAUCCGAUUCGAUCGAAUUCUG